UGAGGUGAAGCAGGCACAGAUGUUUCACAUGAGGAACUGAAAUCACCGGUGCUGAGGUGCCCUGUAAGCAAGUGAAACUAGAUAAGAGACCAAAGGAAAAGAAAAAGGACAUCAGCACGUACAGUUCUGGCAACGGGAGGAAGGACUCCUGUUCUUUCAGCGUGACGUCUGUAGGCUACCCUGAGUCCUGUCUUGUUAAUACUCCUAGCGGACCACCUCCGGCUCAGCCCUUCUCAAUGCCACAGCUGGAGAGCAGUGGCUCUCAAAAGUGGCUAUACUUCAGAGUCAUCGGGAACUGAUUGUCCAUGCCCAGAACAUCAGCAUCCCGGAGGGUGAGAACCAGAUCAGUGCAUUUGCAAGAGUGGAGAGAGGAGAUGUGAGGUGAAAUGGGGAGUCCUGACAAAAGCAAUUGACAAAGGCACGGUUUAUAAUAAAUGAGAAUCUUGGAAUUCUAUUGCCGAAUUAUACAGACCUUUCCAGAAAGAAUCAAGAUUAAAAUACUUCUGGAGAAAGCAAGUGAAAGACCACUUCCUUUAACCGUACAAGCAUCUUUUCAACAUAAUAUAACUUUAGUUUUCUUUCUGCCUCCUGAAAACAUCUGCUAUCUCUCACCUAUAAAAUUUCUCAGCAUUUUCCCUCAGCCUGGGAGGCCCUUGUAAUUUAAGUA